UGCGAUCUCUACUGGAACUGACGAGUUAGGGUGCCUUCAUACACCUUCCCUGUGGUCUCGCCGGCCGCCUUCAUAAUCUGCUUCUCCUUCAUCUUCGGCGAUGUGCUUUCUCUGGCGAUCUCCAACCGCUUGGUCGCCUGAGUUUACAUCUGGCGACUUCAUCUUUAACCCGGUGAUCGCCUAUUCUGGUAUGCUGGAGAUCGGAACACGCCAACUUAAUAACUGGCGACUUCACGAGCCCCCCGACUUCCUUCCCUUCUGCCAAC
rnacentral:lncRNA from 1 species